AUCGAACGCUGGCGGCAGGCCUAACACAUGAAAGUCGAGCGAGCGGCGGACGGGUGAGUAAUGUGUGGGAAACUGCCUGAUGGAGGGGGAUAACUACUGGAAACGGUAGCUAAUACCCCAUACCAUCAGAUGUGCCCAGAGGGGAUUAGCUAGUAGGUGGGGUAAUGGCUAACGUAGGCGGCGCGCCCCAGCUGGUCUGAGAGGAUGCCCAGCAACGCUGUACCGGAGACACGGCCCAGACUCCGAAGGGAGGCAGCAGUGGAGAAUAUUGCGCGAGGGGCGCAAGCCUGAUGCAGCCCUACCGCGGGUGUGAAGAGGGCCGUCGGGUUGUAAAGCACUUUCAGCAGGGAGGCGUUACCCGCAGAAGAAGCACCGGCUAACUCCGUGCCAGCAGCCGCGGUAAUUC
rnacentral:rRNA from 1 species